GAUGAAGAACGCAGUGAAAUGCGAUAAGUAAUGCGAAUUGCAGAAUCCGUGAGUCAUCGAAUCUUUGAACGCACAUUGCGCCCUCUGGUAUUCCGGAGGGCAUGCCUGUUCGAGCGUCAUUAUCACCCCUCAAGCCCGGCUUGUUGUUGGAUGCAGCGCUUAUCCCGCUCCUCCCAAAGAUAAUGACGGCGUCUGCGACGACUCCUGUACACUGAGCUUUCGGGCACGUACACGGCUAGAAGUCCAGACCCGGUCGCCGUCCCCCCCGCGGGGGACACCCAUUACCACAAGGUUGACCUCGGAUCAGGUAGGAAUACCCGCUGAACUUAAGCAUAUCAAUAAGCGGAGGA
rnacentral:misc_RNA from 1 species